rnacentral:rRNA from 1 species
AUUGAACGCUGGCGGCAGGCCUAACACAUGCAAGUCGAGCGGAGCGGCGGACGGGUGAGUAAUGCCUAGGAAUCUGCCUGGUAGUGGGGGAUAACGUUCGGAAACGGGUCCUAAUUCCGAAUACUAUCAGUUGAGCGUAGGUCGGAUUACUUAGUUUGUGGGGUAGAGGCCUACCAAGGCGACGCUCCGUAACUGGUCUGAGAGGAUGUUCAGUCACACUAAAACUGAGACACGGUCCGGCCUCCUACGGGAGUCAGCAGUGGAGAAUAUUGGACGAUGGGCGAGAUCCUAGUCCGGCCAUGCCGCGUGUGUGAAGAAAGUAUUCGAAUUUUGGAGCUCAUUAAGUUGUGAGGCGUUACCAACAGAAUAAGCACCGGCUAACUUCGUGCCAGCAGCCGCGGUAAUUC